rnacentral:hammerhead_ribozyme from 1 species
AUCCAAAUGACAAGUCCCAAAUAGGACGAAACGCGCAUCCUGGAU